rnacentral:rRNA from 1 species
AACGAACGCUGGCGGCAUGCCUAACACAUGCAAGUCGAACGAGACCUUCGGGUCUAGUGGCGCACGGGUGCGUAACGCGUGGGAACCUGCCCUUAGGUUCGGAAUAACUCCCCGAAAGGGGUGCUAAUACCGGAUAAUGUCUUCGGACCAAAGAUUUAUCGCCUUUGGAUGGGCCCGCGUUGGAUUAGCUAGUUGGUAGGGUAAAAGCCUACCAAGGCGACGAUCCAUAGCUGGUCUGAGAGGAUGAUCAGCCACACUGGGACUGAGACACGGCCCAGACUCCUACGGGAGGGAGCAGUGGGGAAUAUUGGACAAUGGGCGAAAGCCUGAUCCAGCAAUGCCGCGUGAGUGAUGAAGGCGUUAGGGUUGUAAAGCUCUUUUACCCGGGAUGAUAAUGACGGUACCGGGAGAAUAAGCUCCGGCUAACUCCGUG